CUAGAUUGUUAGGUAGAUGACCUGCGCAUCCUACCAUGCAGUCGACGUACGCGAGACUGCUUCUGCGAGAUGACGACGGUGAGAAUCUUAGAUCUCCCAUAGUGGGACAAUCGGGAACUCGAGCUAAUACCGCAUACGCCCUCGGGGAAAGGGAGGCUUUCGGAGUUCGCCUAAUGGAUGACCUAAUCGGUUAGCUUGUUGGUGGGGUAAAGGCCACCAAGGCGACGAUCCGUACUGGUCUAGAGGACAUCACCACACUGGAUGAGACACGCCCAGACUCCUACGGGAGGCAGCAGUGGGAAUAUUGGACAAUGGGGCAACCCUGAUCCAGCAAUCCGCGUGUGUAAGAAGGCCUGCGGGUUGUAAAGCACUUUCAGUAGAGAAGAAAAGCUCAGCGUUAAUACCGCUGAGUCUUGACGUAAUCUACAGAAGAAGCACCGGCUAACUCCGUGCCAGCAGCCGCGGUAAUACGGAGGGUGCAAGCGUUAAUCGGAAUUACUGGGCGUAAAGCGCGCGUAGGCGGUCUGGUCAGUCGGAUGUGAAAGCCCUGGGCUCAACCUGGGAAUUGCAUUCGAUACUGCCUGACUAGAGUAUGGUAGAGGGAAGUGGAAUUUCCGGUGUAGCGGUGAAAUGCGUAGAUAUCGGAAGGAACACCAGUGGCGAAGGCGACUUCCUGGGCCAAUACUGACGCUGAGGUGCGAAAUGCGUGGGGAGCAAACAGGAUUAGAUACCCUGGUAGUCCACGCCGUAAACGAUGAGAACUAGAUGUUGGGAGGGUUUGCCUCUCGGUGUCGCAGCUAACGCGUUAAGUUCUCCGCCUGGGGAGUACGCCGGCAACGGUAAAACUCAAAUGAAUUGACGGGG
rnacentral:rRNA from 1 species